rnacentral:rRNA from 2 species
UACGGAGGAUGCAAGCGUUAUCCGGAAUGAUUGGGCGUAAAGCGUCCGCAGGUGGCUGUGUAAGUCUGCUGUCAAAGCGUCUGGCUUAACCAGAUAAAGGCAGUGGAAACUACACGGCUAGAGUGCGUUCGGGGCAGAGGGAAUUCCUGGUGUAGCGGUGAAAUGCGUAGAGAUCAGGAAGAACACCGGUGGCGAAGGCGCUCUGCUAGGCCGCAACUGACACUGAGGGACGAAAGCUAGGGGAGCGAAUGGG